rnacentral:rRNA from 1 species
UGAGUACGAGAUGCUACGGCAUCGAAGCAGUCUAUGUCAUACUUCCAAGAAAAGCUUGCACUGUCAUAAACAAAGAAUGCCUGUACCAUAACCGACACAGGUGGGUAGGUAGAGUAUACUAAGGGGCGCGAGAUAACUCUCUCUAAGGAACUCGGCAAAAUGACUCCGUAACUUCGGGAGAAGGAGUGCCUUAUUUCUAAGGUUGCAAUAACAAGAUCCAAGCAACUGUUUACCAAAAACACAGGUCUCCGCUAAGUCGUAAGACGAUGUAUGGGGGCUGACGCCUGCCCAGUGCCAGAAGGUUAAAGAAGUUGGUUAGCAUUAGCGAAGCUGAUAACUGAAGCCCUGGUGAACGGCGGCCGUAACAAUAACGGUCCUAAGGUAGCGAAAUUCCUUGUCGGGUAAGUUCCGACCCGCACGAAAGGCGUAAUGAUUUGGAUACUGUCUCGGAGAGGGGCUCGGUGAAAUAGACUUGUCUGUGAAGAUGCGGACUACCUGCACCUGGACAGAAAGACCCUAUGAAGCUUUACUGUAACUUGAGAUUGAAAUUGGACUUUAUUUGCGCAGUAUAGGUGGGAGGCGUUGAGAAUAAUCUUGCGGGAUUGUUGGAGCCAUCAGUGAGAUACCACUCUUGUAAUGUUAGAUUUCUAACUUUGUAUCAUUAUCUGGUCAAAGAACAGUUUCAGGCGGGCAGUUUGACUGGGGCGGUCGCCUCCCAAAGGGUAACGGAGGCGCACAAAGGUUUCCUCUGAACGGGUAGAAAUCGUAUCUAGAGUGUAAAGGCAUAAGGAAGCUUGACUGUGAGACCUACAAGUCGAGCAGGGACGAAAGUCGGUCUUAGUGAUCUGACGGUGCUGAGUGGAAAGGCCGUCACUCAACGGAUAAAAGUUACUCUAGGAUAACAGGCUGAUCUCCCCCAAGAGUUCACAUCGACGGGGAGGUUUGGCACCUCGAUGUCGGCUCAUCGCAUCCUGGGGCGGUAGUCCGUCCCAAGGGUUGGGCUGUUCGCCCAUGAAAGCGGUACGCGAGCUGGGUUCAGAACGUCGUGAGACAGUUCGGUCCAUAUCCGGUGUAGGCGUUAGAAUAUUGAGAGGAGCCUUCUCUAGUACGAGAGGACCGAGAAGGACAUACCUCUGGUGUACCAGUUAUCGUGCCAACGGUAAACGCUGGGUAGCUAUGUAUGGAGUGGAUAACCGCUGAAAGCAUCUAAGUGGGAAGCCCACCUCAAGAUAAGUAUUCUC